UAGCUCAGUUGGUAGAGCAUGGUGUUUGCAACGCCAUGGUUGUGGGUUCGAUUCCCAC
rfam:Salmo salar isolate Sally breed double haploid chromosome ssa09, whole genome shotgun sequence.